rnacentral:rRNA from 1 species
UACGAAGGGGCUAGCGUUGCUCGGAAUUACUGGGCGUAAAGCGCACGUAGGCGGCUUCUAAGUCGGGGUGAAAUCCUGGAGCUCAACUCCAGAACUGCCUUCGAUACUGGAGAGCUCGAGUCCGGGAGAGGUGAGUGGAACUGCGAGUGUAGAGGUGAAAUUCGUAGAUAUUCGCAAGAACACCAGUGGCGAAGGCGGCUCACUGGCCCGGUACUGACGCUGAGGCGGACGAAAGCGUGGGGAGCGAACAGG